rnacentral:pre_miRNA from 1 species
UUCUUAUUGAAUGAUGACUGUCACGUGUCAUGUUCUGAUUGGAUGUCAACUCUAUGAAAGAUGAAAUGCAUUGUUGUUUUCAUUGACCAAUCAGAACAUGACAUGUGACAAGUAUGAUCC